rnacentral:lncRNA from 1 species
GUCAGCUUCGGCUUGACUCAGGGAGUAGGACGCCCCUGCCUUGCAUAAGUCCCAUGAGAGAAGAUACCAUCUAUCUCGUGACGAGUCUGGACUCACGCAAGCACAGGUCUGAUCAGCCUGUAGCUGGCCACCUUGGGGAGGGUGUAUAGUGUGGAGGCCGAAACAUCCCAGGAACCAAGGCUACACUACUGAUGAUGCAUAUCCAGCUCCCAUUCUCCAUCAUUCAUCACCAAGGCGACAAGAAGAUGUUCUACCAUUCAUCACUCUUAGGCAUGUGCUCGCACAAAGGAGUUAACAUCUUAUCCUGUGUUUGAUAAACUGGGAUUGUUUGAGACCAUGAAGAUUAAGAGGGUUAAUACCGCAAAAUUUAAUGACAUUAUGCCAAGUAAAAGACUCAAAAGUGAUAAAAAUGACCCCUUUUAGUAUUUUUGUAUUUUUUUCUUUUAUUAUAUUAUUAUUUUAUUAUAUAUUAUCACAUAUUUUAUAAUUGGAAUAAUGUGAUGGUUGCAUUUUGAUCCUGAGGUUGGCCAAAAUGGACUAAUUAACAACUAAAAUCAUAAUGACUUACAAAUAAACUGUAUGUUUUAGGCUAUAGUCACUGACUACAUUUGCGGUAGAACUGAUAUAAAAAUAAGUUUUUAUGAAGCCCAAGGGUGAGUGAUUCAACUGUCUACUGUCUGUUGGGUAAAAGCCUUUUUCAGGUGGUAAGGAGAGACAGUAACAGCACAGAGUCAAACGCUGACCCAAGUCUAUCCCAGGACAGAGGUUAUAAGAAACCAAACACUCUGGGCUAAAUAACGUAGAUGUCAGAAGGUCAGGUUUGAGUAUCGCAUUGUACGUUUAGCACCCCCUAGUGGAGAGUUGUAGUAUAACAUGCCAAAUAAAGCUGGUGAAGUCACUAUAUUAAAAGGCAAGAUUCUUCAGCAGUAAUGUGUAGUACUCUAAGUUUUUCUCUACUUUGUCUUUUCUCUUGCACUUAGUUUUAGCUGCCAGUAGAAAAGCUGAUUGAUGGUAGCAGAUGUUUCUCUAGCGCGAAAGGAGUGUGUGUGUGUGUGUGUGUGUGUGUGUGUGUGUGUGUGUGUGUGUGUGAGUGUGUGUGUGUGUGUGUGGACUUGCGUGCGUGCACGUGUGUGUGUGGGCGGGAGUGGUGUUAGGUGCCAUUGUGUGGUGUGUAUGCAAAUUGUUGCUGCUUUUGUGUGUUCCUUAAUCUUGUGUGGUAUUUAGCAUUUGUAAUAUGUCAUGAUUGUGUGUGUGUGUGUGUGUGUGUGUGUGUAUGUGUGUGUGUGCGCGUAUGUUUAUGUGUUUGCCCUCGUACAUGGCCCUGUCCAUGACCACAACUGUGUGCAGAAUAACAAUGAGCAUCUUAAGCUACCCUGGCUUUGUGUGCGUUUGUGUAUAUGAGUUUGAGUGUGUGUGUGUGUGUGUGUGUGUGUGUGUCUGUGUGUGUGUAUGUGUGUGUGUGUGUGUGUGUGUGUCUGUGUGUGUGUAUGUGUGUGUGUGUGUGUGUGUGUGUCUGCCAAGGGCCAGCGUUGUCCUAUUGAGUUAAAGAACAGAUUAAAUCCGACCUCUCCUCUUUCUCCUCGCCUUUGCAGUGUGCUACAGUUUUUACAAGCUAUAUCCCAUUAACAUGUUCCUGACCAUCCCAAAGAGCCACACUUAGAAGUAUUAUUGCUGCUAGUUUGCUGGUAUUUUAGGGCAACAUGAGAACCACUUUGCAGAGCUAUGAGCCCCUUUCACACCCCCAGCAUUGCAGCGACACUUGUUGCAUACAGGAGUAGUGGGCAGUAGAUGUCCAAACAAAACUGAGCUGUGGUUGGGGUUGAUUUUACCUUUCAUGUAUGCGGCACAGUCGGACUGAAAUGGGCCUAGGUGAUCUGCCUAUGCUCCAGUGUUCACACGCAUGGCUUUUUGCUGGAAGCUGAAGAGCACAAAUAUAAAUGUGUUGCAAGAAGGCUGGGUAGCAAACAAAACCUCCAUGAAAGAGGGAAGCAGUAAAACAGACAGAACUUUCCUUUCAUACAAACACACUACAGAGCUGUGAAAGUGACAUGUUUUCGUUAUCGACAUACAUCCCUUUAGCUUUUUGCUAACAUGUUUUGUCAAUGGUUUCAAUUUGCCUUUGAUCUACUGGGAAUGGACAGUAUUAACAAACUGACAGGGGGCAAGUGGAGGGAGAGCAUGCUUCUGUAUGUCAUAGCCUUUUUCCCUGUGCAUGUCCACCGUGAUAAGGACAGUAGUCCAAUUAAGUUGAAUAACUGUGCAUGUAAACAUUCUGACACUCCGGAGGAGACGUAGACAGACAGGGGGGUUUGCAAUGUGAUGUUCAAAGUUAUCUGUUAUCUUAGACCAGAGCAGCUGAUCCCCUGAUCAGAACCCUCAAUUUUUCUUUCAUUUAGUUCAGUUCAGUGUUUAAAAAAUACCUGGUUUAAUUUGCUUUAAUCUAAAACUGUGACAUAAAAUCUAACUGAUCAGAUCAGGUCUUUAAAAAGAUGAGGUGAGGACAACUGAACUGUUUGUGUGAGUAAUCAGUAAGGAGACAUGUCAGUGAUGUGUUUGUGUGUGUGUGUGAGCGCCUGUUUGUUUACAUACCUCCAGGUUCAGACACUCUCCUGUGUGUGUGUGUGUGUGUGUGUGUGUGUGUGUGUGUGUGUGUGUGUGUGUGUGUGUGUGUGUGUGUGUGUGUGUGUGUGUGUGUGUGUGUGUGUGUGUGUGUGUGUGUGUGUGCACAUUAAGAGGAGUCCAGGAUGAAUCAGUGUCUCCUGGAGGUGGAAACAGAUCAUACAUAUUUAUUCAGACCCUCUCUGCUCCCUCUCUCCUCCUAUCACUCUGUUGAUUUGUGUGUUGGACACACAGCAGAGGGCAGACUGACGCCUGUGCUGUCUAGACAUCUUAUUAAUGGUUGUCUAUCAGACUGUGUCCAACCUCAGGAUACAAGUGGGUAUGUGACUUUAUUACAGACAAAUACACAACCUAGAGAGUGUUGUGUGUGGAAAUGUGUAUAUAUGUGAGUAUGUAUGUGCUCAUAUGUAUUCAAUUUAUCAAAACAUUUUUGAAUUACUCAUGAUGCAAACCCUUAUUUGUCACUGACCCAUGUACAUUCCUGAUUGGGUGAGUGCUCAGCUUUCUAUUUAUUCAGUGCCUCAGCGGCUAAGUAAUGUGCAGAGGGGUGGGGCUUGAGAGCACUGUUAAGAGAUUGGCAUGCUGUUUUAUGGUCAGAUUAAAUCCAAAAUGUCUUCCUGAGUCAAAAAUCAUGCAUAUUACUCUUCAUAUUCAUAGAUUAAAUGCAAUAUACCAAGCUACUCAUAACUGUAGUCCAGUUAAAUCGCAUAAUUACGCUAUAACCAUAGCUUAACUUUACUGUGCAUGUAAACCUAACGAGUCAGUUUCAACAUGAAUGUUUUUACUACUUGCAGAAUUCACUAUUCUGAUAUUUUUUAUAAUUAAUAAUAAAACGCAAAUUGCAUGUGAGAAAACGAAUAUGUAGUCUGACAUGUAGCACUGUACAAAAUGAAUGGAGCUCGAUUUGAUCAUCAAUGUGAAGAACCCAGAUGUUUCAUCUGAAGAAAUUAUAAGAGUGAGACAGAAGAUAAAGCAUGUGAGUAUCUGAACAAUGACAGGAGAAUUCUGGUCUCAGUAAGAUCUUGUGAUUGAUGAUACGUAAAGAAAAACAGAUGAAAAGAUGAAAGAGAAUGAUUCGAAUUUCAAAUCUAGAAAAAGAACAGAUAAGGUUUGAGACAGCUGCUUUAGGGUCAUCAAGUUCAAGGAAUACAAUCCUUGAAAUCUUAAAUGCUUCUUAGCUGGUAUCUCUUUAAAGCACAAUGAGACAGCACACCCCACUGGAGCAAAUAUCAAAUUCCUCACUCCCCUUACAUUGACAGAGAGGGAGACACCAAGAGGAAAAGUUUCUAUUUUUAGAUUUAUGACAUGUGUUGCUGCUUAAAGUUCUAGUAUGACGGCCUGAAAUAUUUGGAUUAGACUAUCAAACGUGGAGGCAGUCCUGUAAUUGUGGUGAUACAGCGGCUAUUUUCCUCUGAGAUCAUGGCCUGUGUCAGUGGCUAAAACACUGUUAUGUUACAUAGCUGUGUUUCAUGUAGAGCUGACAUAAGUAUUUAAAUAUUUGCUUUGCUUCUUUAUGUCAGGGACUGAUAAAGUGCAAAGGUCCUUACACCGGGACCAACACAAAUAUCCGACGCGAAAUUACGAAAUAUUCUGAGGCAAAUUUUGACACGCCUGACUAUACACAUUAAGCCCGAUGCGAUUUUGCGACUUUCCAGGGGGAUAAAAGACGCAUCCUGGUUGGAAGCGAGAAGACUGACACAACAGCAGACUGACUGUUUUUCAGUUCUGAUAAGACACUAGUGUUGAGAUGGCUGUCUGUCAUUAUAGCAUGUACUAAGUCGGGGCCAGUACCAGAUAAGCACAUUAAACUGUAAUCCAUAAACGUAAGGUAACAACCGAGACCUAAUGGUGCUGUGACAACAAUGCGAUUGAGUUUGAGACAGUGAAAAUACAUAUGGUAUGUUAUAUCUGAACAGGUUAGCUUAUGAGCUGAAGUUCCUUAGCGCAGAUGAAAGUUAAAACAAGGACGUUUAGCAAACUGUUAAAGCACACAAACCAUCGUCAUAUGAGAGAUCUCACGCUAUGACUCUCCACAAGUUGUCCUUCAGGUCGUUAUCUUUUGUAAUGUUUGUGUCUUUUAUCAAAAAGCACUCCAUUCUCCGACACGUAAACAAUCAGCCGGUCAGCCAUGUUGGGUAUACCGGUAAAUCUGACGUCGCAACAACACGCAAUCAGAUUGGUCAGUGGACACACAGUAUGCGAAACUUUAGAAAAAUCUACCAUGAUCCAAAAAAGUAAAUGCCGCAGUAUCACAGGACGGGAAAACGUCACUGAUGUAAACGCUUGUAUUGACAGGAAAUGGGUUCUAAAAAAAAUAUUGACGUCCGAAGUAAUCGCACGAUAAAAACGGUCCCGGUGUGAAAGGACCUUGAAAUAAAAACCUUGAAAAUCUGGUUUAGCAGCAUUUUUCAUUACUGUCCCAACAGCUGAAGUUAGCAGUCAGCCCCACUAACUAUACCUUUAGCUACUGUUGUAGUUAGCUAGCUGACGUAUAUUUGGCUUGCUAGCUAGCCAACAUUGAAAUUAGCAACUAAUUUAAACUUUGCACGUUGAAAACAUGAGGAGAUCAUGUUAGCUAUGUUUUUGUUGAAGGCUAGCCCUUACCAUUUGCUACUAUAUUUAACUAAAUAUGAUCCAUUACCUCUCCAGAUCUCUGUUUUGAUUUUAUUUUCAGAUGUCAGUCAGUCAGAUAGUCAUAAAAAAUUAAUUUGACAUGUUUCUAAUACAAUAUGCAAUCAGGGACACAGCAGUUCAACAUUACCUUGAUUAGUCGGACUUUAGUAAGGCAGCUAAUAAUAGUGUUCAGCCAAGCUUUCUUUACAACUCACAAAUUUUUCUGUUUGCUACUCAGCCUAAAAUUUUGCAAGCUAGCAUUUGACAAGUUAACAUUUGAAUAAGCAAGACAGGGAAAAAUUUUACACACAUUUUUGAGAGGUUACAUUACAAGCUAGCAGGUUUAUAUUAGCUGUUGUGUUGACAACUAAUCUUUUUUUUUAAUACCAAAUAUGGCUUAAUGGACUUUUUGUCUUUUGAGAUGCUGACUGGUUAGGAAGGAAUAGCAAGAUAACACAACAGAGUUUGAGACAAAGAACACCUGAAAGAACCACCCCCACUAAAGUGUUCAACCACAGAGACAAGAAUUUUACACAUAUGGCUACACAACUUAGACAAACUACACAAAACUUUACUAACACAUUUUAUUGUCUUUUGGCUUGGAUUUUGGAAGAGAGAAAGAGAAGAACACAAAAGAAAAGAGAAUUAGAAAAAGAAAGAAAUCAAAAAAAUUUAAGCUGGCCUUAGAGCAAAAGUAGUGACUUUGGAGAACAUUGAUAGACAAGUAUUGGAGCCAAAAGUGUGGCGUGACUGGUGAGUUGUGAGGACCCAGAAGCAGACACAGAGACAGAGAUCAACUUAAGGUGUAAUUUUAAUGUUCAAACUCAGGUUUAAAGGCAAAAAAGAGGAAGUCCGGGAGGCUGGUUGGCUGGCUGUCGUGUGGGCUGGAGACACUGCAGGAAAAACAGAGGAGAGGGAAGUGAGUGAACAUACAAUGAAUCUGGAGCAGAAUACGAAUACUAAUUUCAAAGGAAGGAGGCCAGGAGACACGUCUAUACCACUUGGAAGUGAAGACAAUACUCAGGUGUUGAGACUGAGGGCUGCUGGCUUCUUAAAGUGCCUUGAUUGUAGAUGAAGAGCAGGUGUGUAGUCUCACUCAGCCUCAGCAACCGGGGGAGGGGAGGAAGCUCUGGAAGAGAGUAAAGCCAGACCAGGCGAACACGGAAACACAGGAAGUCCAGCCAAAAUAAAACAAAAGGAGGAGGCGUCUCACCACAGUACCCCCCUCUCAAUGAAUGCCUCUUGGCGUUUUGCCGGGUUUCUUGGAGUGAGCGGUGUAGAAGUCGUCAAGGAGUUGAUGGUCCAGGAUGAGGGAGCAGGGGAUCCAGGACCGCUCCUCUGGACCGUACCCCUCCCAGUCCACGAGAUAUUGGAAGCCUCGCCCCCGAGGCCGCACAUCAGUAUGCCUAAAGGAUUCGUGGACUCCUCCUCCUGACUGGUGAGCGUGCGCAUUGCUUCAUUCCCUUCCUUGUUGUUGAACUGUGUGUAGCGUUUUGUUCCUCCUGAAAGCGCUCUUGCUAUUUUGGGUUAUUUUCUCUCUGUAAUCUAUCAGUACAUCUGUUUGUUCAAAAAGUCUGUAAGUAUUUCUGAUAGUUUUCACCAAGCACCGUCUUUAUCUCCACUCCGGGUGAUCUCUCUGAUCAUUUACUUUACUAGCUCCUAGCUUCUCUUAGCUCAGCUUCUCUUAGCUACACUUGCUAAUGAUGGCUUCCCCCCGGUCUCCUGCCUCUCCUGCUCGCUUCUGCUCAGUGUGUCAGAUGUUUAGUUACUCCUCGUCCUCUUUAGACGAUAACGAUACCUGCUUUAAGUGUAGUUUAUUCUUAGCUCUGGAGGCGAGGAUUACAGAGUUAGAAAAGCGGCUCCGCACCGAUGCUAGUGUAGCGGUAGCCAGCCAGGACACGGUAGCCGGUGCGGGUCGACCUAGCUUAGCCUCCCCCCCGGCGAAUCCCGAGCAGCCGGGAUGUAGUAGUGCUUGGGUCACUGUGAAAGGGAAGCAUAGCAGUAGGCCUAAGAAGCCCACGUUAGACCACCAUAUUCACAUUUCAAACAAAUUUGCCCCUCUCAGCAACACACCUGCUGAGCCCGACGCUCUUGUGAUUGGAGACUCUGUAGUCCGAAAUGUGAAAUUAGCGAAGUCAGCGGCCACAGUUCAGUGUCUUCCGGGGGCCAGAGCGGGCGACAUCAAAGGUAGUUUAAAACUGCUGGCAAAGGCUAAACGUAAAUUCCGUAAGAUUGUAAUACAUGUCGGCGUUAAUGACUCCCGACGCCGCCAGUCGGAAGUCACUAAAUUGAACGUGGAAUCGGUGUGUGAAUAUGCCAAAACCAUGUCGGACUCCGUAGUUUUCUCUGGUCUCCUGCCUGAUCAGACAACUGAUGAGAUGUGUAGCCGUAUCUCAUCAUUCAACCGCUGGCUGUCGAGGUGGUGUCCGCAAAACGGCGUGGGCUUCAUUGAUAAUUGGAAGUCAUUUUGGGGCAAGCCUGGUCUGAUUAGUUGGGACGGCAUUCAUCCCACUCGAGAUGGAGCGGCCCGUUUAUCCAGAAAUCUGGCCGAUUUUAUUAAUCCGAACCACUGACAAUUCAAAGCCGAGAUCAGGGAGCAGGGCCGCAGUCCUACACGCCCCCCUGCGCCUCCUUUAGAACAGCCUCCCAUCCACUACAGCUUAUACACAGAGACAAGGGAGCAGAGCCGCAGUGUAAAACGCCCCUCUGUACUCCCUUCAGAUCAGCUUCCAAGCUACAGACAGUUUGAUAUAGAGAUCAGGGAGCAGAGCCGCAGUGUAAAACGCCCCACUGUACUCCCUUCAGAGCAGCUUCCUAGCUACAAUCAGUUUGAUAUAGAAAUCAGGGAGCAUAGCCACAGCUCUACACGUUCCUCUGCACUUUUGUUAGAGCAGCCUCCUAGCUACUGUCACUUUAACAUAGAGACUGUGUCUGUCCCUCGUACUCGGCUCUUUCAUUCUAACCGAUCAAUUAAAAAAGGAGUAAAUAACAAGAACCUUACUAGAAUUAAAACUGCUAACAUAGCUGAACCAAGUACUAGUAAGAUAAAAUGUGGUCUACUGAAUAUAAGGUCUCUAAGUUCCAAAUCUGUGUUAAUAAAUGAACUAAUCUCUGAUCAUCGCAUUGAUCUACUCUCCCUAACCGAAACUUGGCUGCGUCAGGAUGAAUAUGUCAGCUUAAAUGAAUCCACUCCUCCUAGCCACCUAAACUUUCACAUUCCUCGGGACUCUGGCCGAGGUGGCGGAGUUGCAGCUAUCUACAAUUCCAGUCUUGGAAUUAACCCAAGACCAAAAUUGGAUUAUAACUCUUUUGAAAGUCUUGUUCUCAGUCUCCGGCAUCCAGCCUCAAAGUCCAUGAGACCACUGGUAUUUGCUAUAGUUUAUCGCCCUCCGAGCCCAUACUCUGAGUUUUUGUCAGAGUUCUCAGAGUUUCUAUCUGAUUUAGUCCUUCUCGCAGACAAAGUCAUCGUCGUUGGUGACUUUGAUAUUCAUGUAGAUGUGGAAAAUGAUAGCCUAAGCAUUUCUUUUUUGUCCUUGCUAGAUUCAAUUGGGUUUACGCAGUGUGUACAUAGACCUACGCACUGCUUUAACCACACCCUCGAUCUUGUCCUGGCUUAUGGCCUUGAAGCUGAAGCCCUGUUAGUCAGCUCAUUAAAUCCUCUUUUAUCUGAUCACUCUCUAGUAACUUUUGAAUUUGUGCUUUCAGGUUACUCUCCUUAUAACAAAGCCGUGCUAACUAGAAAGUUGUCUGAAAAUGCUGUGACGAAGUUCAAGGAGGUAAUUCCGUCUGCUCUAAAUUCUGUGGUUGAGAAGAACUUUCAAAAAAGUUAUAAUCCAUAUUUAAACAUUAGUCCCUUGCAACUCGAUCAGUUCGUCGAUGAUACCUCAGGCACACUGCGAUCAAUUCUAGACUCAGUUGCUCCUCUUCGACAGAAAACUAUUACACGCGAGAGGCUAGCCCCAUGGUAUAAUGCUGAAACCCGUGAGCUGAAACAGUUAUUAAGAAGACGUGAAAGGAUUUGGCGCUCUUCCAAAACAGCUGAAGCUCGUUUUCUCUGGCAGGAAUGUCUUCAUAAAUAUAAGAAGGCCCUACGAUGUGCUCGGACAACUUACUACUCGUCUCUUAUUGAGGAAAAUAAGAAUAACCCCAGAUAUCUCUUCAGCACUGUAGCCAGGCUGACGGACUGUCAGAGCACCGCUGAACCAUGUAUCCCUUUAGCCCUCAGCAGCGAUGACUUCCUGAGCUUCUUCAAUGAUAAAAUCUUAAAAAUAAGAGGUAAAAUUAGUAACCUCUUGCCCUCAUCAGGUGUCUCUCUCUUAGAUAACCCUAAAAAUGUUGAGGAGCCCCUAAGGCCUCUGGUGCACCUUAGUAACUUUGCACCUAUUGACCUUCCUGAGUUAAAGUCAGUGGUGCUGGCAGCCAAACAAUCUACGUGUCUCUUGGACCCAAUUCCAUCCAAAUUGCUGAAGGAAACUCUUCCUUUGAUCAGUACGUCCCUGCUUAAGUUGAUUAACACGUCUUUAUUAACAGGAUAUGUUCCCCAGUCUUUCAAGACUGCAUUGAUUAAGCCUCUCCUUAAAAAACCUACUCUGGACUCAAGCACCCUAGCUAACUAUAGACCAAUAUCCAACCUUCCUUUUAUUUCUAAAGUCCUGGAGAAAGUUAUUGCGAAUCAACUCUGUGAUUUUCUUCAUAACAACAGUUUAUUGGAGGAUUUCCAGUCUGGAUUUAGAACCCAUCACAGCACAGAGACUGCUCUGCUGAAGGUGACAAAUGACCUACUCAUGGCCUCGGACAGUGGUCUUCUCUCUGUUCUAGUCCUGUUAGAUCUUAGUGCUGCAUUUGACACGAUCGACCACUGCAUCCUGCUUCAGAGACUGGAACAAUCUAUAGGCAUAGCAGGAUCAGCCCUCUCCUGGUUUAAAUCGUACCUCACGGAUCGAUCCCAGUUUGUCCAUGUUAAUAAUGAAUCCUCUGCACACACCAAGGUCUGCUACGGAGUGCCGCAAGGGUCACUGCUCAGACCGAUCCUCUUUACCCUGUACAUGCUUCCGCUGGGUAAAAUUAUGAGGAAGUACUCGAUUAAUUUCCACUGUUAUGCAGAUGACACCCAGCUAUACCUAUCCAUGAAGCCAGAGGAAGCAGGCCAGAUUGCCAGGUUGGAAGCCUGCCUCAAGGAUAUAAAAUCCUGGAUGACCAACAACUUUCUGAUGCUCAACUCAGACAAAACUGAAGUUCUGGUCCUCGGUCCUAAACACCUUAGAGAGGCAUUCUCUAGUAAUUUAGUUACAUUUGAUGGCAUCAGCCUGGCAUCCAGCCCCACUGUGCGAAAUCUGGGAGUUUUAUUUGAUCAGGAUUUGUCUUUUAGCUCCCACAUCCAACAAACUUCUAGGAUAGCUUUUUUCCACCUGCGGAAUAUCUCAAAAAUUAGACGCAUACUGUCUCAGAGCGAUGCAGAAAAACUGGUCCAUGCCUUUGUUACCUCUCGACUGGACUACUGUAAUUCUCUCAUAUCAGGCUGCUCCAGUAGGUCUUUAAGGACUCUUCAGCUGGUCCAAAAUGCAGCAGCGCGGGUACUGACUAGAACCGGAGAAGGGAGCACAUCUCUCCUGUCUUAGCCUCUCUUCACUGGCUCCCUAUUAAAUCUAGAAUUGAGUUUAAAAUCCUCCUCGUGAUAUAUAAAGCGCUUAACGGCCAGGCUCCAUCAUAUCUCGACAAGCUUGUUAAACCGUACUUUCCGUCUAGACCGUUACGCUCACAAUCUGCAGGCCUGCUCGUUGAACCAAAUGUCUCUAAAAGUAGUAUAGGAGGAAGAGCUUUCAGCUACCAGGCGCCUCUCCUCUGGAAUCAUUUACCGCUCGAGGUUCGGAGGGCAGACACCCUCUAAACUUUCAAGAGUAGACUUAAAACGUUCCUCUUUGUUAAAGCUUAUAGUCGGGGCUGAUUUGAACCAGCUCUUAGUUAUGCUGCUAUAGGUCUAGACUGCGGGGGCUAUCUGGCACACUGAGCUAGAGUCUGUUUCUAUCUCUUCUUUAGAUCUUUAUGUCCCAUAUAAGUCACUAAUCUCUUAGCUGCCACUGGACUAAUGCUGCAGACGGUCUGCUGCGGAACUGCCUGACCCCAGCUGCAUUAUCCCUGAUUGUCCACCCUGGGCCCUGAGCUCCUCCAUCUCUUUUGCUCCUCUGGACCGUUGCUGCAGACCCCCCCCCCCCUCCCCCUUUGGUCUGCUGCAGACCUGCCUGACUCUAGCUGCAUCGUCUACGAUUGUCCGCCUCAGGCCCUGAGCCCCUUCUUCUCUUGGAUUCCUCUGAACUGUUACUGCAGACAUGAACAUCAGCCUCACUGACAUUACUGACAUUAAUAACAUAAACUAGAACUGACCACGAUUAGGCCUGCUAACUGCUAACUGUAAUCACACUCAAUUAAUUUAACACUGUCCAUAAUCACUCAUAUCCUAACCCUGUAAACUGAACUCUUUUUUCUUCACCAUUACAUGAGCAGUUGUUGUUGUUGUUGCUGUUGUUUCUGCUGUGAAGGCAGGGUGGUCGUCAAUCAACCGAGGGGGGGGGGGGUGGAGGGGCGACGGAAGGAGGGCUCAGGGUGCAUGAGGCAGGCAUGAAAAUCUCUCACCUUUCGGUGCAAUUCGCCGUUUUGAAAUCAAAAAGGGUGACCUUCGUGAAUCGUGUAGAUCCGAGGAGAAAUUUUUUAGGGGGGGGGGGGUCGGGGUCGGGAGAUUUCUUUUAUUAUCAUGUGAUUGACUCAAUACGUAAACUGAGCACUUCAGAAAUCGGCCCUUUAAAUGACACUUGGACGGUCAGUAAAUCCUCCUGGCUCCUUCGCUGACGAGAACCAAUCAUAGGCCAAACUGCGUUCCAUUAUUCCAAUCAUGCACACACUCUUCACGUGUACUUGGAGUGCUCGGAGAGCCUGUGGUAGCAUUGCAAAGCUGCGAGAACGAGAAGCAGGACUUAUCCACGCCGGUGUUGUGCCGUAGAAUGCACCCCUGACAUAGAAAGCCCCCCUGACGGGAGCGCGGUUGAAAGUACACAACAAGGCGAAAUAAUCCAAGUUUUGAGCCGUCUAAAAUAGCGAAAGCGGGCGUCUCGGGUUUACUGCUCUGCAGGGCUCUCAAGUCUCACGCAUUCAGCGUGUGACACACGCAUUCCCACCCGUUCACACGCCACACAUUGUAUUUCUCACGCAUUUAUAUGAACAUGGUGAUGUCUACAAAGUUGCACCUCUGUAACAAUGGAACAGGUGGAAAUCAAGUGAGUUCCUCCGAGAGUUCAGAAGCCAAUCAAAUAAAGUAUAUCUACUGAACAGCCAAUCAAAAAGCAGCAUUGCCGUAGCCGGGUAGAUUUUGAUAUCUUGCGGUUUGACUACAGAAGAAGACAGACACUCGCCGAAAUAGAGCAGGUUUUUAUGAGGACGAGAAAGACCCGAUGAUUACAGUAAGUCGGUAACCUACACAUGCAGAGACCUCAACACCUCAUGGCAUAUAAACUCAUAUGAUAAACUAAAGCCCUAUGCUAUUGCUUUUAACAGCUGCAUUGAUGAAUUUAGCCUCUGUGCAGCCAUUUCCAGCCAUGUUCCCCUCCACAAAAGCAGCAUUGCUUAUAUAUUCUUUUUAAAGUUCUGACAGUGUAACGCUCAUGUACUAAAUGAUUAAGUAUCUCCAUGUUUGUGAAACCUAUACUAAAGUACAAUUCAUCUAAAUGCUCCUCAGUGCUGAUUUUAGCAACUCUCCUCCACAACAGGUAACUACGACUUUAUUCUUAUAUAUUAAUGACUUUAUUCUCCUAAAUAAUAACUUAUACUAUUAUACUAAUAAUUAUCUUCAAUCACUCUUCACCCCCUCCGCUUCUCACCUUUUCAACCCCUGACCCAUUUUCAUGCCUGAUGAGGUGACAGGCUUUAUCAGGGAGACAUGAAAUGUGGGGUGAAUUUUGAGGGUUGAAGGAAUUUUUAUUCUUACCACUGAAGGGUUGAUGAUUUUCUGGAUAGGAAAGGGACCAAUGAAGCCGGGGGACAGCUUGCGGGACUCUGUCUGCAGGGGAAGGUCACGGGACGAUAACCAGACCAUCUGACUGGGACGAUAGUCUGGUGCUGGAGAGCGGUAACAACAGCCAGGCGUUUGUUGCGCUCGGCCGUGCGGGUGAGUGCGGCCCUGGCGGAUCUCCACACCUCCCGUAGAUGCCCAAUGUGCUCCCUCACUGACGAGACGGCCACCGGGUGCUCCUGUUCGGGAAACAGGGGGGGCUGGUAACCAAAACAGCACAUGAAGGGAGACAUACCUGUGGCCGAAGAGGUGAGGGAGUUAUGGGCGUAUUGGAUCCAUGGGAGGUGCGUACUCCAGGACGCUGGAUGAUGGGCCGCCACACACCACAGGGCCGACUUAAGGUUUUGAUUGGCCCACUCCGUCUGGCCGUUGGUCUGCGGGUGGUAACCCGAGGAGAGGCUAGCUGCUGCGCCCACUGCCUGGCAGAAAGCUUUCCAGACCUGACAGGAGAACUGGGGACCACGAUCUGACACUAUGUCAAGGGGGAUACCAUGUAGUUGGAACACAUGAGAUACCAGGAGGUUAGCAGUUUCUAAAGCAGACGGGAGCUUGGGUAACGGGACAUAAUGCACAAAUUUGGAAAAUCUGUCAAUCAUGGUGAGUAUGACUGUGUUACCUUCAGAAGGAGGGAGACCAGUGACGAUAUCUAGGGCUAUGUGAGACCAGGGGCGUGAGAGCACAGGAAGGGGACGCAGCAAGCCAGCCGGAGGUUGGUGGGAGACUUUGCCUCGGGCACAGACGGAGCAGGCAGCAACAAACGCCCGUACGUCCCGGACCAUUCCCGGCCACCAGAACUGCUGCUGGAGGAAUUGGAGGGUGCGUUGAAACCCGGGGUGACAGGUGAGUUUGGAGGAGUGCUCCCACUGUAGGACCUGGGAACGUGCAACCUCAGGGACAAAUUUUCUGUCAGGCGGGCCAGUUCCCGGGUCUGGGUGGUUCCGGAGGGCCUGGUCCACGAUGGUGUCGAUCUCCCAAGAGGCGGAGCCGACGACACAGGAGGCAGGGAGGAUGGUGUCUGGUUCGCUGGGGUCCAAGGUAGCCGAGGAAUGGAUCCGAGAUAGGGUGUCUGGUUUGAGAUUGCGGGAGCCUGGACGAUAGGAGAGGGUGAAGCUGAAUCUACUGAGGAAGAGGGACCAGCGGGCUUGCCUGGAGUUGAGGCGUCGAGCGGAGCGGAGGUAUUGCAGGUUCUUGUGGUCAGUCCAGAUGAGAAAAGGUUGUUGUGCUCCUUCCAGCCAGUGUCUCCAUUCUUGUAGUGCCCACACGACAGCCAGCAACUCACGGUUUCCCACGUCGUAGUUUCGUUCAGUGGGUGAGAGUUUCCAGGAGAAGUAGGCGCAAGGAUGGAGCUUCCGGGUCUCAGAAUCCUUCUGUGAGAGGACGGCCCCCACUCCAGAGUCCGAAGCAUCGACCUACACCACGAACUGAAGAGAGGGAUCCGGGUGUUUGAGCACCAGGGCGGAGAUGAAGAGGGACUUGAGCUGACAGAAGGUGGCGUCUGCUUCGGGGGUCCAGGAGAACGGGACCUUGAGGGAUGUGAGACGGGUAAGGGGCACAGCCACCUUGCUGUAGUUUCUGAUGAAGCGCCGGUAGAAGUUGGCGAAGCCGAGGAAUCACUGGAGGUCUUUGCAGGAGGAGGGAGUGGGCCAGUCACGGACGGCACAGACUUUCUCUGGGUCUGGGCGUAGCUCCCCCUGGGCGAUGAUGUAUCCAAGGAAACUGACGGAGGAGGCGUGGAACUUUCCCUUCUCGGGUUUGACGAAAAGGCGGUUUUCGAGGAGGCGCUGGAGGACGAGUCGAACGUGCUGCUGGUGUUCUUCCAGGUGGCGGGAGAUGAUCAGGAUAUCGUCCAGAUAGACGAAGGCGAAUUGGUUGUUCAUGUCACAGAGGAUGUCAUUAAUGAGAGCCUGGAACACAACGUGGGCAUUGGUGAGGCCAAAGGGCAUGACGAGGUACUCGAAGUGGCCCAUGGGUGUAUUGAAGGCCGUCUUCCACUCGUCCCCCUCCCUGAUGUGAACCAGGUGAUAGGCAUUCCGGAGGUCCAGUUUGGAAAAGAUGGUGGCCUUGCAGAGAGGUUCAAAGGAGGGAUCGAUGAGUGGCAGGGGAUAUUUGUUUUUUAUGGUGGUCUCAUUGAGUCCGCGAAAGUCGAUGCAGGGAUGGAGAGAGGAAUCUUUUUUCUUCACAAAGAAGAAACCAGCGGCAAGGGGAGAGGUUGAGGGCCGGAUGAGUCCAGAUGUCAAGGAGUCCUGGAUGUAUUCCUCCAUGGCCUCUCGUUCGGGCCGAGAGAUACAGUCUGCUACUGGGGAGAGGGGCGUCAGGGAGCAAAUCUAUGGCGCAGUCAUAUGGGCGAUGAGGAGGAAGGACGAGAGACUGCUCCUUACUGAACACCAUGGCCAGAUCAUGGUAAAUGGGGGGGAACCGAGGUGAGAGAUGGCGGUGGAGAUGCUGGCCUCUGUAAGUGGAUGUAGGGAUUGGCGGAGCGGAGGCAGUGGGAGUGACAGUGAGGACUCCAAGCGUAGAUCGAAGAUGUGGACCAGUUCAUUUGGGGGUUGUGGAUCUGCAGCCAAGGGAGUCCCAGCACCAGGGGUGAGUGUGGAGAGGGAAGCAGGAACAACCGGGUGUCCUCCCGAUGGUUUCCCGACAGGAUGAGGGUGAGAGGAGCAGUGCAGUGGGUUAUGGUGGCUAUAACCCUGCCAUCGAGAGCGGUGACCUUACGGGGAACUGGGAGUACCUCCAGGGGGAGCUGAAGCCGCACUGCCAGUCCGGCGUGAAUGAAUUUGUCAUCCACCCCAGAGUCAAUGAGGGUUUGGAGGGAAGUGGAUUCUUUUCCCCACAGGAGACAAGCAGGUACCGAGAUGCGUCUAGGAGAGCUAGGAACAGAGGAGGUGUGGCUCAUCAGGGUGCCCUCUGUCACUGAUGAGCCUGGCCGUUUAACUUAUUAGGACAGUUGGGCAGAAAGUGGCUGGCCUGGCCACAAUACACACAGAGCUUCUGCUCUAUCCUUCGUCUCUGUUCAUCGGGAUGUAAUUUGGUGCGGCCAAUUUGCAUGGGUUCCUCGGCAGAGGGCGCCGGAUCCGGAAAGACUGAGGGCUGCAGAGGAGACCCGCUGACCGCAACAGAGGAUGGGGAGUCUAUGCUAUGUGCAGGGGAAUGUGCUUUCUUCUCCCUCCGUCUCUCCCUGAGGCGAUUGUCCAUCCUAAUGGCUAAUGUGAUUAGCUCCUCAAGGGAGGAGGGCUCAUCCCGAGCUGCAAGCUCGUCUUUAAGCUGUUCGGACAGACCACGAGUGAAUAUCCCCUUUAAUUCUAGUUCCCCCCACCCACUUCUGGACAGCUUGCUGAAACCUAUCCGGGUUUGCUGGGUCCAUUAUCCUGGCCUGAGUAUUCUGUGGCGUGACUGGUGAGUUGUGAGGACCCAGAAGCAGACACAGAGACACAGAGACAGAGAUCAACUUUAGGUGUAAUUUUAAUGUCCAAACUCAGGUUUAAAGGCAAGAAAGAGGAAGUCCGGUAGGCUCGUUGGCUGACUGUCGUGUGGGCUGGAGACACUGCAGGAAAAAAAGAGGAGAGGGAAGUGAGUGAACAUACAAUGAAUCUGGAGCAGAAUUACGAAUACUAAUUUCAAAGGAAGGAGGCCAGGAGACACGUCUAUACCACUUGGAAGUGAAGACAAUACUCAGGUGCUGAGACUGAGGGCUGCUGGCUUCUUAAAGUGCCUUGAUUGUAGAUGAAGAGCAGGUGUGUAGUCUCACUCAGCCUCAGCAACCAGGGGAGGGGAGGAAGCUCUGGAAGAAAGUAAAGCCAGACCAGGCAAACACGGAAACACAGGAAGUCCAGCCAAAAUAAAACAAAAGGAGGAGGCGUCUCACCACACAAAAGUACCAUAUUUGUCUUUCAAAUGAUUCAGAGUAUUAGUUUUGCUUCCACCAAAAUAACAAGUACAAGUUUGGCAUUAGGUUUAGUGGGUGUUUUCAGUGUGGCCACUGCUGUCGAAAUGCUUUAAAACUCCACUUCAGAAACUAAUUUAUGACAUAAUAGAGACUAGGUUUUUAUUUUAUAAAGCCUAAGGAUAGAAUGACAAAUACAUGCAGGUUCUGCUCAGGAUUUUGAUCUGUAGGAUUGUUACUCUACCAACAAGACUUCUUUGAUAUAAUAUUGAUCCUUUUUGGCUUACACAAACUUUUGGCCUGGAUCUGAAGACUGAGGCAGUAACAAGGAAACAGAGCUGGCAUUAUAAAUAAACACAGCUCUCUAAUAGACCUGAAACUGAAGAGUUACAACACCACCCACUCCUUAUUUUCUUUGGUUGGUCUGCACUCAGACCAAGGGAGUGUUGAUCCAUUUAUAGGUCUCCAUAUUGUUAAGUUCACUUGAGAAGAUGCAAAGUAAAGUAAUAUACACUGGCCGUUGCUCUCACAGUUCAUAGGCAACUAUUGCGAAGGGUUAGAUGUAGACUAGGUCUUAGUAGCAAUUUGUUUUAGACAGAAGUGGGUCAGGGAGAGGGAUUCUGCUGUGAAAAUGUCUGUGUUCAGGCUGCCUGUAACACUAUGCUGUUAUAAAUAAGUUAUGCAAAUGGAAACUCUACACACUCUGCACACAGUCUUGCAUAAAUGGAUUUCUAUGGAUACACUUAAUGGUACAGACCUUUAUAUCUUGCUUUUUGUUUUACACAAAACUUCUGUCACACACACACUGGGUGGUCUUUACUUUGAGCACCUGGGAGUGUGUAGAUUGGUGUUACUGUAGAGAAAAUAAGAACAGGUAAAGGUUAUAUGAGAGUAGGUGGUCAUCCCAACAUGGUGAGCAAGAAUCCAAUGAGAGGCUGUCAUAUAGUCUGAAUUAUGGUUGUGGAUUUCCGCAGGAGGGGGACACCUCAAACAGUUCCAGUGAACAUACAGGGUCUGGACAUCGAGAUGGUGGAGUCCUACAGAUUCCUGGGUGUCCACCUCAACAACAAACUGGACUGGUCAACAAACACAGACGUUCUGUACAAGAAGGGCCAAAGUCGUCUCCACCUGCUGAGGAGACUGAGGUCCUUUGGAGUGUGCAGGACUCUGCUCAGGACUUUCUAUGACUCUGUGGUAGCAUCUGCACUUUUCUAUGCAGUGGUCUGCUGGGGGGCAGGGAGCACCAAGAGGGACAGGGAGAGACUGAACAGACUGGUCAGGAGGGCCAGUUCUGUCCUAGACUGUUCUUUGAACUCCCUGGAGGAGGUGGGUGAGAGGAGGAUGUUAACAAAGCUUAUAUCCAUCAUGGACAAUCCCUCUCACCCACUGCACCAGACUGUGGGGGCUUUAGGCAGCUCCUUCAGCAGCAGACUGAGACUCCCACCCUGCAGGACGGAGCGCUACCGCAGAUCAUUCCUCCCCUCUGCAAUAAGACUUUACAAUGAACAGUAACAAAACUG